rnacentral:rRNA from 1 species
AGGCCAGACUCCUACGGGAGGCAGCAGUGGGGAAUAUUGGACAAUGGGGGGAACCCUGAUCCAGCGACGCCGCGUGAGUGAAGAAGUAUUUCGGUAUGUAAAUCUCUAUCAGCAGGGAAGAAAGAAAUGACGGUACCUGACUAAGAAGCCCCGGCUAACUACGUGCCAGCAGCCGCGGUAAUACGUAGGGGGCAAGCGUUAUCCGGAUUCACUGGGUGUAAAGGGAGCGUAGACGGCGACGCAAGUCUGGAGUGAAAGCCCGGGGCCCAACCCCGGGACUGCUCUGGAAACUGCCGGGCUAGAGUGCAGGAGGGGCAGGCGGAAUUCCUAGUGUAGCGGUGAAAUGCGUAGAUAUUAGGAGGAACACCAGUGGCGAAGGCGGCCUGCUGGACUGCAACUGACGUUGAGGCUCGAAGGCGUGGGGAGCAAACAGGAUUAGAUACCCUGGUA